GGCGGAGGAGGACGACAGGAAAGGCUCUUCGUCUAGAAUUUCAGUGGAUUGAGUGAAGAGAGAAGAAAAGAUGGUAAUUGAUUUUUCUUUUUUUUUUCUUUUCUGUUUGUAAUCGGGUCAAAUGGACUGGGUAUGGUGGGUUGAGUAGAGCAAUCUUUUAUUUUUAGUUGGAUUGGGCUUUAUAUUUAGGCAUAAGUAGAUAUUUUUUUUUAAGUUUUAGCAUAAAUGGGACACUUACUCAAAAGUAUCCCAAACAUGUGUCCCUAUAACAUAAUUCUGUU
rnacentral:lncRNA from 1 species